AAGGAUUUAAGUUAACCAAACUAGUAACCUUCAAAGUUACCAAUAAAAAAUCAAAUUUUAAGCCUUA
rnacentral:tRNA from 1 species